UACGUAGGGGGCAAGCGUUGUCCGGAUUUAUUGGGCGUAAAGAGCGUGUAGGCGGUCAGGUAGGUCCGUUGUGAAAACUCGAGGCUCAACCUCGAGACGCCGAUGGAAACCAUCUGACUAGAGUCCGGAAGAGGAGAGUGGAAUUCCUGGUGUAGCGGUGAAAUGCGCAGAUAUCAGGAGGAAUACCAGUGGCGAAGGCGGCUCACUGGACUGGUAUUGACGCUGAGGUGCGAAAGCGUGGGGAGCAAACAGG
rnacentral:rRNA from 1 species